GUCUCUUAGAAAUUACUAAGAGUCAGGCCUGCCCAGUGAUUGCUUUUUUAACGGCCGCGGUACCCUGACCGUGCAAAGGUAGCAUAAUCAUUUGCCUUUUAAUUGGAGGCUGGUAUGAACGGUUUGACGAGAGUAAAGCUGUCUCACACACAUUAAAUAGAAACUAAUUUAAAGGUGCAAAAGCCUUUAUAAAACAAAAAGACGAGAAGACCCUGUUGAGCUUUAAUUUUAAUGAGCACCAACUUUAUAUUAAUAUAAUUCAUUUGCUCAGUAAAAAUUUUAAUUGGGGCGAUUAAGGAACACAAUGAAGCUUCCUGAUUUUAACAUUAAAUAUCUAUAAACUAAAUCGAUCCAGCAAUGCUGAUCAACAAAACGAGUUACCACAGGGAUAACAGCAUAAUUCUUUUUCAGAGCUCAUAUCGAAAAAAGAGAUUGUGACCUCGAUGUUGGACUAGGGUAACAAGAAGGUGGAGCAGCUUUCUUGCUUGGUCUGUUCGACCAGUAAUUCCCU
rnacentral:rRNA from 1 species